CUGGGAUACCACUUGGAAACAGGUGCUAAUACCGGAUAACAACAAUAGCUGCAUGGCUAUUCUUAAAAGGCGGCGAAAGCUGUCGCUAAAGGAUGGACCCGCGGUGCAUUAGCUAGUUGGUAAGGUAAUGGCUUACCAAGGCGACGAUGCAUAGCCGAGUUGAGAGACUGAUCGGCCACAUUGGGACUGAGACACGGCCCAAACUCCUACGGGAGGCAGCAGUAGGGAAUCUUCCACAAUGGGCGAAAGCCUGAUGGAGCAACGCCGCGUGAGUGAAGAAGGUUUUCGGAUCGUAAAGCUCUGUUGUUGGUGAAGAAGGAUAGAGGUAGUAACUGGCCCCUAUUUGACGGUAAUCAACCAGAAAGUCACGGCUAACUACGUGCCAGCAGCCGCGGUAAUACGUAGGUGGCAAGCGUUGUCCGGAUUUAUUGGGCGUAAAGCGAGCGCAGGCGGAAAGAUAAGUCUGAUGUGAAAGCCCCCGGCUUAACCGAGGAAUUGCAUCGGAAACAGUGUUUCUUGAGUGCAGAAGAGGAGAGUGGAACUCCAUGUGUAGCGGUGGAAUGCGUAGAUAUAUGGAAGAACACCAGUGGCGAAGGCGGCUCUCUGGUCUGUAACUGACGCUGAGGCUCGAAAGCAUGGGUAGCGAACAGGAUUAGAUACCCUGGUAGUCCAUGCCGUAAAC
rnacentral:rRNA from 1 species